AACGAACGCUGGCGGCAUGCCUAACACAUGCAAGUCGAACGAGACCUUCGGGUCUAGUGGCGCACGGGUGCGUAACGCGUGGGAACCUGCCCUUAGGUUCGGAAUAACUCCCCGAAAGGGGUGCUAAUACCGGAUAAUGUCUUCGGACCAAAGAUUUAUCGCCUUUGGAUGGGCCCGCGUUGGAUUAGCUAGUUGGUAGGGUAAAAGCCUACCAAGGCGACGAUCCAUAGCUGGUCUGAGAGGAUGAUCAGCCACACUGGGACUGAGACACGGCCCAGACUCCUACGGGAGGCAGCAGCGGGGAAUAUUGGACAAUGGGCGAAAGCCUGAUCCAGCAAUGCCGCGUGAGUGAUGAAGGCCUUAGGGUUGUAAAGCUCUUUUACCCGGGAUGAUAAUGACAGUACCGGGAGAAUAAGCUCCGGCUAACCCCGUG
rnacentral:rRNA from 1 species